GAGAGGCCAGGAGCAAACCGGUCGCCUGAUCGAAGACUACAAGUAUCAAUGUAUCAUCCAUGACCCCAUGUCACCAUGUGCAACUUGGUAGAGUUCCGUUGUCAAAGCCACACGCGCACAGAGAGAAGUCGUGGCAUUAUUUACUGCACUUCAGGUUACCUGCUUGCCUGCGAAAAUAGGAGUGAGCAGUGAGGCUUAUCUGAGCUCAAUCUUACUAUUAUAAAUUGGAGGAGGUGAAGCCACAUGGGAUUCUAAGUUGACACCUUAGAAAAAAGAGAAAUAUUAGAAAUUCUCAAAAAAAAGCAAAACAUCUGGUCAUCAGUGAACAACUAUUGGAUCUAUUAUGUUUUCUAAACAAUUACCCACCUAUGCCAUUAUGAAAAUAGCCUAAAGUAACCCCCUAAAUCUAUAUCCAAACUACCCACCAGGCCAUUACAUAAAAUAGACCAAAGUAACCCCGUAAUAUUCAUCUAAAUUACCCACUUAUGCCAUUAUACAAAUACUUUAAAAUAACAAAAUAAAUUUGCAACUAAAUUGCCAACCACUAAUACUUAAAAAUAACUAAAGUAACCUUUUCAAUUUGCAUCUAUAUUACCC
rnacentral:lncRNA from 1 species